GUCCUGCCUGCCCAGUGACCAUGUGUUCAACGGCUGCGGUAUUUUAACCGCGCGAAGGUAGCGUAAUCAUUUGUCUUUUAAAUGUAGACCUGUAUGAAUGGCGCGACGAGGGCUUAACUGUCUCCUUUUUCCAGUCAAUGAAAUUGAUCUCCCCGUGCAGAAGCGGGGAUGACCCCAUAAGACGAGAAGACCCUGUGGAGCUUUAGACACUAAACAGACAAUAGUACCUCCCUACAAAGAAACGAACCUACUGACUCCUGCCACUAUGUCUUUGGUUGGGGCGACCUCGGAGAACCACAAAACCCCCGUGUGGAAUGGGGACAACUUACCUUUUCUUACAACCCAAAACCAAGAGUUACCACUCUAAUUAACAGAACUUCUGACCAAUGAGGAUCCGGCUUUAUGCCGACCAACGGACCAAGUUACCCCAGGGAUAACAGCGCAAUCCUCUUCUAGAGUCCCUAUCGACAAGAGGGUUUACGACCUCGAUGUUGGAUCAGGGCAUCCUAAUGGCGCAGCCGCUAUUAAGGGUUCGUUUGUUCAACGAUUAAAGCCCUACGUGAUC
rnacentral:rRNA from 1 species